rnacentral:rRNA from 1 species
UACGGAGGGGGCUAGCGUUGUUCGGAAUUACUGGGCGUAAAGCGCACGUAGGCGGCUUUGUAAGUUAGAGGUGAAAGCCCAGGGCUUAACCCUGGAAUUGCCUUUAAGACUGCAUCGCUAGAAUCGUGGAGAGGUGAGUGGAAUUCCGAGUGUAGAGGUGAAAUUCGUAGAUAUUCGGAAGAACACCAGUGGCGAAGGCGGCUAUCUGGACCGUAACUGACGCUGAGGCGCGAAAGCGUGGGGAGCAAACAGG